UACGGGGGGAGCAAGCGUUGUUCGGAUUUACUGGGCGUAAAGGGCGCGUAGGCGGCCAGCACAAGUCAGUUGUGAAAUCUCCGAGCUUAACUCGGAAAGGUCAACUGAUACUGUGCGGCUAGAGUGCAGAAGGGGCAACUGGAAUUCUCGGUGUAGCGGUGAAAUGCGUAGAGAUCUGGAGGAACACCGAUGGCGAAGGCAGCCUUCUGGGCCAACACUGACGCUCAUGCACGAAAGCGUGGGGAGCAAACAGG
rnacentral:rRNA from 1 species